rnacentral:rRNA from 1 species
UACAUGGGGUGCAAACGUUGCUCGGAAUCACUGGGCAUAAAGGGCGCGUAGGCGGUCAGCACAAGUCAGUUGUGAAAUCUCCGGGCUUAACUCGGAAAGGUCAACUGAUACUGUGCGACUAGAGUGCAGAAGGGGCAACUGGAAUUCUCGGUGUAGCGGUGAAAUGCGUAGAUAUCGAGAGGAACACCUGCGGCGAAGGCGGGUUGCUGGGCUGACACUGACGCUGAUGCGCGAAAGCCAGGGGAGCGAACGGG